rnacentral:rRNA from 1 species
CCUAUGGGAGGCAGCAGUGGGGAAUAUUGGACAAUGGGGGGAACCCUGAUCCAGCCAUGCCGCGUGUGUGAAGAAGGCCCUCGGGUUGUAAAGCACUUUCAGUGAGGAAGAACGCCUGGUGGUUAAUACCCAUCAGGAAAGACAUCACUCACAGAAGAAGCACCGGCUAACUCCGUGCCAGCAGCCGCGGUAAUACGGAGGGUGCGAGCGUUAAUCGGAAUUACUGGGCGUAAAGCGCGCGUAGGUGGCUUGAUAAGCCGGUUGUGAAAGCCCCGGGCUCAACCUGGGAACGGCAUCCGGAACUGUCAAGCUAGAGUGCAGGAGAGGAAGGUAGAAUUCCCGGUGUAGCGGUGAAAUGCGUAGAGAUCGGGAGGAAUACCAGUGGCGAAGGCGGCCUUCUGGACUGACACUGACACUGAGGUGCGAAAGCGUGGGUAGCAAACAGGAUUAGAUACCCUUGUAGUC